GCUACACAUGCAAGUCGAGGGGUAGUCAUCUUCGGAUGAUGAGACCGGCGCACGGGUGCGUAACGCGUAUGCAAUCUACCUUGUACAGAGGGAUAGCCCAGAGAAAUUUGGAUUAAUACCUCAUAGUAUCUUCGGAAGGCAUCUUCUGAUUAUUAAAGUUCCAACGGUACAAGAUGAGCAUGCGUCCCAUUAGCUAGAUGGUAAGGUAACGGCUUACCAUGGCAACGAUGGGUAGGGGUCCUGAGAGGGAGAUCCCCCACACUGGUACUGAGACACGGACCAGACUCCUACGGGAGGCAGCAGUGAGGAACAUUGGACAAUGGGCGCAAGCCUGAUCCAGCCAUGCCGCGUGCAGGAAGACGGUCCUAUGGAUUGUAAACUGCUUUUAUACAGGAAGAAACACCUCUACGUGUAGAGACUUGACGGUACUGUAUGAAUAAGCAUCGGCUAACUCCGUGCCAGCAGCCGCGGUAAUACGGAGGAUGCAAGCGUUAUCCGGAAUCAUUGGGUUUAAAGGGUCCGUAGGCGGUUUAAUAAGUCAGUGGUGAAAGCCUAUCGCUCAACGAUAGAACGGCCAUUGAUACUGUUAAACUUGAAUUAUUAGGAAGUAACUAGAAUAUGUAGUGUAGCGGUGAAAUGCUUAGAUAUUACAUGGAAUACCAAUUGCGAAGGCAGGUUACUACUAAUUGAUUGACGCUGAUGGACGAAAGCGUGGGGAGCGAACAGGAUUAGGUACCCUGGUAGUCCACGCCGUAAACGAUGGAUACUAGCUGUUCGGAGCAAUCUGAGUGGCUAAGCGAAAGUGAUAAGUAU
rnacentral:rRNA from 1 species